UAGUUCACCUUGUUAUCAGUACUAUUAAAACAUCCGGUAUACAUUUUCGUCUUUCGUAAAUUCUAAUCUUAUGUUACAUACUCGUACGUGCUAUAUUAUUAUUACCAUAAUUUAAUCAGACCGAAACAGAACCUACGUACUACGUAGGUAAAAUAAGGUAAUUUUCACCAGAAUGGAGCCAGUGUUUUCUCUUCGAACUUGAACAGAAAGACUUUUGAAGGUACUACGUAUGUAUACUUGUAGCCCUUUCAUUUUACUCCUGAUGGGAGCCAAGAAGGAAGUCUGAGAGUUGGUACACCUUCGGCAAUGACUAGUAUAUGGAUGAUGAAGUAAUCUCUCUUCACCGUACAAAUCGCUAUCAACGGUAAUACCCAUCGAGUAAUGUGUACGAGUAUUUAAAACACACGAAGAAAGCAGCGAAAAAAAAACCACAACACAACAACGACAACCGUUUUUAAAC